GAAUACAUAGUUCAAAGGUAGAACGGUUGGCUGUUAACCAACUAAUGAGAGUUCGAUUCUCUCUGUAUUCGCCA
rnacentral:tRNA from 1 species